UACAGAGGUCUCAAGCGUUGUUCGGAUUCAUUGGGCGUAAAGGGCGCGUAGGCGGCGCGGUAAGUCGGGUGUGAAAUCUCGGAGCUUAACUCCGAAACUGCAUUCGAUACUGCCGUGCUUGAGGACUGGAGAGGAGACUGGAAUUUACGGUGUAGCGGUGAAAUGCGUAGAUAUCGUAAGGAAGACCAGUGGCGAAGGCGGGUCUCUGGGCCUUACCUGACGCUCAGGCGCGAAAGCUAGGGGAGCGAACAGG
rnacentral:rRNA from 1 species